AUACGGAAGGUGCAAGCGUUAAUCGGAAUCACUGGGCGUAAAGCGCUCGUAGGUGGCUUUGUAAGUCAGGUGUGAAAGCCCACGGCUCAACCGUGGAAUUGCACUUGAUACUGCAUUGCUUGAGGUUCGGGAGAGGGUAGUGGAAUUCCAGGUGUAGGAGUGAAAUCCGUAGAGAUCUGGAGGAACACCAGUGGCGAAGGCGACUACCUGGACCGAUACUGACACUGAGGAGACGAAAGCGGUGGGGAGAC
rnacentral:rRNA from 1 species